UACGUAGGGUGCAAGCGUUGUCCGGAAUUAUUGGGCGUAAAGAGCUCGUAGGCGGUCUGUCGCGUCGGCUGUGAAAACCCGAGGCUCAACCUCGGGCCUGCAGUCGAUACGGGCAAACUAGAGUACUGCAGGGGAGACUGGAAUUCCUGGUGUAGCGGUGAAAUGCGCAGAUAUCAGGAGGAACCACCGGUGGCGAAGGCGGGUCUCUGGGCAGUAACUGACGCUGGAGGAGCGAAAGCGUGGGGAGCGAACAGG
rnacentral:rRNA from 1 species